rnacentral:tRNA from 2 species
GCCCGGAUGGCGGAAUUGGUAGACGCGCUAGGUUCAGGUCCUAGUGGGAGCAAUCCUGUGAGAGUUCGAGUCUCUCUUCGGGUA